rnacentral:rRNA from 1 species
UACGUAGGGUGCGAGCGUUAAUCGGAAUUACUGGGCGUAAAGCGUGCGCAGGCGGUUCGUUAAGUCAGAUGUGAAAGCCCCGGGCUCAACCUGGGAACUGCAUUGGAAACUGGCUUACUAGAGUGCGGUAGAGGGGUGUGGAAUUCCCGGUGUAGCAGUGAAAUGCGUAGAUAUCGGGAGGAACAUCUGUGGCGAAGGCGACACCCUGGACCAGCACUGACACUGAGGCACGAAAGCGUGGGGAGCAAACAGG